UGGGGAAUUUUGGACAAUGGGGGAAACCCUGAUCCAGCCAUCCCGCGUGUGCGAUGAAGGCCUUCGGGUUGUAAAGCACUUUUGGCAGGAAAGAAACGUCAUGGGUUAAUACCCCGUGAAACUGACGGUACCUGCAGAAUAAGCACCGGCUAACUACGUGCCAGCAGCCGCGGUAAUACGUAGGGUGCAAGCGUUAAUCGGAAUUACUGGGCGUAACGCGUGCGCAGGCGGUUCGGAAAGAAAGAUGUGAAAUCCCAGAGCUCAACUUGGGAACUGCAUUUUUAACUACCGGGCUAGGGUGUGUCAGAGGGAGGUGGAAUUCCGCGUGUAGCAGUGAAAUGCGUAGAUAUGCGGAGGAACACCGAUGGCGAAGGCACCCUCCUGGGAUAACACUGACGCUCAUGCACGAAAGCGUGGGGAGCAAACAGG
rnacentral:rRNA from 1 species